rnacentral:rRNA from 1 species
UUAAGCAUAUUAAUAAGCGGAGGAAAAUAAACUAACAAGGAUUCCCCUAGUAACGGCGAGUGAAGCGGGAACAGUUCAUGCCGAAUCUGCACCAUUUUUUGUGUGCCGAAUUGUGGUCUAUAGAAGUGCCAUCAGUUGUGACCCAGGGAUAAGUCCCUUGGAAUAGGGCAGCAUAGUGGGUGACACUCCCGUUCAUGCCUUGGGUCUUCAAUUUGAGUAGGUACUCUCAACGAGUCGAGUUGCUUGGGAUUGCAGCUCAAAGUUGGUGGUAAAUUCCAUCUAAAACUAAAUAUUGGUGGGAGACCAAUAGUGCACAAGUACCAUGAGGGAAAGAUGCAAAGAACUUUGAAAAGAGAGUUAAAGAGUACCUGAAAUUGCUGAAAGGUAAGCAAAGGAAACCAGUGCCGCCGAUAUAGUAUAUUUCCUGGACCACUUGUGGUCUGGGCACUGUGCUACAUCAUGGGUUAUCGAGGGUUUGGGAUGUCUGAAUUGGUCCUGGAGGAUGUGUCCCCUUUUGGGGUGUUAUAUCUCUUGGAUUGGAAGGUGUCCUGGGCUGUUUGAGUCACGCAAGUGCUCAUGACGAUAUCAAAAUGGUU